rnacentral:rRNA from 1 species
GACGAACGCUGGCGGCGUGCUUAACACAUGCAAGUCGAACGGAAAGGCCCUGCUUUUGUGGGGUGCUCGAGUGGCGAACGGGUGAGUAACACGUGAGUAACCUGCCCUUGACUUUGGGAUAACUUCAGGAAACUGGGGCUAAUACCGGAUAUGAGCUCCUGCUGCAUGGUGGGGGUGGGAAAGUUUCGGCGGUUGGGGAUGGACUCGCGGCUUAUCAGCUUGUUGGUGGGGUAGUGGCUUACCAAGGCUUUGACGGGUAGCCGGCCUGAGAGGGUGACCGGCCACAUUGGGACUGAGAUACGGCCCAGACUCCUACGGGAGGCAGCAGUGGGGAAUAGUGCACAAUGGGCGGAAGCCGUAUGCAGCAACGCCGCGUGCGGGAUGACUGCCUUCGGGUUGGAAACCGCUUUCGCCUGUGACGAAGCGUGAGUGACGGUAAUGGGUAAAGAAGCACCGGCUAACUACGUG